UAUAGAUUACAAUUUUGCCGUGUUGUAGUGGGAAAUCUGCUCCUAAAUACCUGUGGUCUUCUGUCAAAGUCAUUCCUAGCUGUAAAUCACUGUGGAAAAGCUGUAAGGGGCAGAAUUGUAUUUACGGCAGCAAUAAAAACUGGAACUCAGUUCCGGCACCUCUCAGGUUGGCACUGUUGCCAUUAUAAGAGAACAAGGAAGACUUUUGUGGUGAGUUCCAGGACCUCUUUUUCUAGAAAAAUAGCACAGAGUUUGUACCUUGGGGCCUGCUCCACUGUCAUGUUUGGUGUUUUUUGUUUUAGUAAACCACUUUGCAGGUUUUUAAAAGAAAUAAACAAUAAAUAUGAAUAAAAUACCACAAGCCAAAACACAAUCCAUCCUGUAGAUUUAAGUAUCUGUCCAUAGUCGCCUACUUGUUAUCAGAGGCCCAGAAUCCACAUUCCUUUGUAAGAUACUAUGAAAUAACGUAAAACCAUUUUUGCAGUAAAAAAUAAAUAUAAAUAAAUAAAUGGGGGGGGGUGACAAGAAAUUUUCCGCACCGGGUACCACCUGACCUUCCUUGGGGCCCCCUCCCCUGUCAUGUUUGGUGUUCAGCAGCAGGAGUUUUUGAAGGAAUCCUGUAAGCAGGGCCAGUUGGGGGGAGGGGUUGCAGGGGGCAUUUGGCCUGGGGCACAACCUCAAAGUGGGCCUCAGAUUUAGUCACUUCUUAAUAUUUUUGGUAUUUGAUUCUUCUCUCAGCUUGUUUCUACCUGCAGCAGACCAAAAUGUGACACCCACUCUCAGCUUAGAGCUGCAAACUUAAGCAAAUGAGAAAUGUGAUUUGGUAAAAGACAUGGUUCUUUUUUGUUCGCAGAUAUUUCAUCAUAUUUAAUUACAACUCACUUCUUUGGUGUGUGGCGCUAUUUUGUUUUGUGUUCCAUCAUUUUUAAUUUUUUAUUCUGCCUAAAGCUGGAAGUGGCCUAGGUCUCUCUGGACCACUGAAACCGGGUGUCCCUGAUUAUUGUUCUUGCUGGCCAGGGCUGGGAGCAGCACACAGGCACUCAAAGGCUUGGCCAGUAUUCUCUGUAAAACAGACUGCAAACACACAGACAGAGGAACCAUGCCCCAGAACUUUGCGAUUUGCAGUGUUUCUGAAGAAAAUUCAAAAAGCACCAUACACAGUUGAGUCUGCAGUGAAAUAAGCACUCCAGCAUAAGUUUGCGAUGAGAUAACAUUCUUUUUAUUGCUAAAAGAGAUAUAGCAUAAAUUAAUAUCUAAAUAUAACAGUUUUAUACUUUUCAUUUAUUCCCCCUAUUUAUAGCUAACCCUAUGUUGUAAGCAUCCCAGGGUGGGAUACAGAAGCAUUCAGUUAAAAAAACAACAACAGAAUAUGCAUAAGAAAAUAAAUAUACACAAUGUCCCCUGCUACAAUUUUUAAAAAAGCCAGUCACAGGACUGGUACCAUUCGUUAGCCAUAUUGCUAGUGAGCUUGGCGUGGUUUCCGUUUUAAUAUGACUUUGACAUCUCCACCAGAUAGUGGGUUUUUCUUCUUCACAUUCCAGUGUCACAGAAGAGAAGUACUGUCUGUAUUUCAUCCUCAGCUUUGGGUUUUCAGUGUCUGUAACACUUUCUGGGUCAUUUACAAAUUUUUGCUUGGAAAUGUUUAUUUCACUCCUCUUCCAAAAAUAUUUUUCACCCAGAACCAGAGUUCCGCUUAACAGCUGCGAAGCUGCAGCAAGAAACCCAACAUAGAUGGCCAUUCCAGCACGUUGUUCUGUGGGAAUCGGAGGCACUCCCAAAACCUCUGGAAGCGGAAUUCCUUCGUUUGUUAAUACAGAGUGAAGAUUCCAUGCAAUGGAAAUCAGUACACAAGUACCCGCUGUCAACUCUAUCCUUCCUCCAAUUGAAAAGAAGGUAUCAAUGAAAUUCUCGUCUUUUCCCGGCUCAAAGAUGUUGCAUAGAGCAAAGGCCAUCCAAAGAACGGUCACCGCAUUGGCCACUGAGGCCAUUGGCAUCAAGUCCUGGGCCACGAUGAUUUCAGCUAGCAGGGACUCCUCAUCAUUGAAUGGUAUACAUAUCAUGUUGGUUUUCUUCAUGGUAACUCUUCUUACAGAACAGGCACCCCAGAUGCCAAUGCCCACAAUGCCCUGCUGGUUGCUGCCCAUGAUUUUGUCUACUUGCCACACUCUCCAGUCAAGGUUGGCAGAUGUGGAGCAGAUGCUCAUUAGGCAGCCCAGGACAGCCAGGAGAAAGGCAGCGAGUUGCACGCUGGACACCCUGCACAACAGGCGGACUGGGAAGGACCCAUCAUGCGCCUGGGGUGGAAGUUCUGCUUUAGCGCUUGGAAGGCUGGCGAUAGAAGGCAUGAUGGAGAAAAAGACAGACAAAAGAUAACCGUAGGCGUCUGGGGCUGCAUGCAUACCCUGUGCCCAGGGGCGGGCCGGCUCCCUGUGGGGUUGGGUUGAGCCGGGGCAGGACACUCCGCGGAGCCUCUAAGGAAUCUGCCUACGUCCUUUCACUCAGGCACCCUACAGCUGAGGUGGCAGGCGGAUUGUUCAGGGCAGCAGGCGCCCAUGCCACUGCGUCACUCCCAGGAAAGACGUAUGUUUCAGGCACGCUGCAGAUCCCUUGGUGAGUGCUGCCCGACAAUUUGUCACCCUCCUCAGUGGUGACAGCUGCGGCGAACUGCCCCCACCACACACCCCUUCUUUUGCCCCUGGCUCCCCCAAGCCUACAUCCCCAGCAUGUUUGCACAGUGGUUUGGUCCUGUCCACAGAACGGAAGAUGGCAGGGUCUCCAAGGAUUUGCUCUAUUGGGACUUGGCUUCAGGCACCAGGCCUGUUGGCAGACCAAACUCUGCAUUACAAAGAUGUUGGCAAACAUGACAAGAAGGCUGGCCACAUUAACCCUGUCAUGUGGGAAUCCUUUGCAGAUGAUCACAGUGACUGGAGACAGAGAAACAGAUGGGCACAGCAGUUACCAGAGCAGGAGUGACUGCUGGGAGAAGUACAGAGAGAAGAAAUGUCAUGGUGUGCCUGUAGCGACAAAACUGAAUGCCUUCGCCUGCCCUGUUUACAAUAAAACAUGUCUCUCCCAUAUCAGUCUCUAGAAUCACAGCAGGCGCUGUAACUCUCCAAUGGUUUGAAUUUACCCCGGGAGGCGCAUUCUUCCAUUGUCUCCUGAGACAGUUGGGUGGCAACAACAAAUCAACUGAAAACAGAACAGCAGUCUUUGGAACCACUGGUAGACUAAAGGAGUCAGAAUUAUCAGUUAGCAUACUUUCUAGUAGCUGGAAGCUGAAGAACAGCCCCCAAAUACUUUUAAAAACAGGGCACAGCCCGCAUCCUUGUGAAUGUCUUCUGUGUGCUGUGCAAACUGUAUAAACUGGUAAAAUAUUAAUACAUGACAUGAGUGAAUGGCAUAUACAGGAAAAGCAGAAGAGGGGGCACCCCCACUUAUAGUUAAUGAACUCUGAAUAAAAAAGGUUAUUCCUGCUCUUAAGUCUCCACACAUGAAGUUAGAGGCACAAGCAUGUCUGCUUCUAAAGUUGUUGUAAUCUGUUAUGAUACAGUUCAACCCCCACCCCACCCCCACUUAAAAUCUGGGGGGAAGUUGGGAAGAAUCAAUAGCACAUAGCAGUUAGCUGGUGGUGCACUAGACACCAUCUCCUUCCCUGUUUAAUACCUGUAACUUCUUCAAUGAGAGCCAGCACCUCCUUCCUGCUUUCCAAGAUCUGUUUUGUCACAUAUAACCACAAUUGGCCAUCAUUUUUCUGGCUUGGGUGUCACGGUUCUCGGCUAACUUGAUUGUAAUGAAUUUGCAGUCACAUCUCUCUUCAAUGGGUUCAUUUCUUAGAAAUUCAUCUUUCUAAUUUCCUCCAUUCUGAAGCACCGCUGAGUUAUGAAGAGUUUAAGUGUCCAUCAAUUAAUGUCAAAACACAAUGAAAUACCCACCAAACUACAUUUGACAUCCACUAGAAUACCAAAUGAAUUUACUAAUGGCCUGCUCCUCUGCUAUGAGAAUCUUAGGAAUUUGUGGAGAUGGGGAAAGAGGCUCUUUUUACAAAAUGUGAAUUGGCCAUUUAUUAGGGCUCUUCAGUCCUUCUGAGAACUAGCAUGAUGAUUUGUUUGAACUAUCAGCAGUCCACAGGACCAAAAGGGAUUUUUGUUCUGGAUUUCCUGGUGAGGUCUGUUUUGUUCUUAAGGAGCUAACCUAAGUAACCAUUAAGUGUUUCCUAUUUGGCAGUUAGUUUUUUUUUUUUUUAAAUGAUAUUUAUUGAGAUUUCAAAAACAAAAAAUUACAUAAAAGACAAUGAAAAAUAUAGAAAAAAAAGAGAAAAAACAUACAAAAUGCAAAGUAUAUAUAUAAAAAAAUAUAGAAAGAACACUUAGAAACAAAUUUAUCCUUUUGUAUCUUACAUUUCAUUUCCUUGCUUUCCUGACCUCCUCUCACCUCCCUUUUUUGUAUUCCGGUUCAAUUGGUUAAUUCAGGAAUUCCUUUCCCUCUUUGUUUUUGUCUUAGUCCUUUAACUUAAUAUAUUGUAGCUUUAAAUUCUCACCUAUUAACCAGCCACUUUUUUCAUACACCUUUAUGACAUUGCUGCUAGAACCACUUAAUUUCAUUCUGACAUCAUUCUAACAUUCAUUAAUUUUACAAUUUUUCUGUAAAUAGUCUUUAAAUUUCUUCCAAUCUUCUUCCACCGACUCUUCACCCUGGUCUCGGAUUCUGCCAGUCAUUUCCGCCAAUUCCAUGUAGUCCAUCACCUUCAUCUGCCAUUCUUCCAGAGUGGGUAGAUCUUGUGUCUUCCAAUACUUUGCAAUAAGUAUUCUUGCUGCUGUUGUAGCAUACAUAAAGAAAGUUCUGUCCUUCUUUGGCACCAUUUGGCCGACCAUGCCCAGGAGAAAGGCCUCUGGUUUCUUCAGAAAGGUAUAUUUAAAUACCCUUUUCAUUUCAUUAUAAAUCAUCUCCCAGAAAGCCUUAAUCCUUGGGCACAUCCACCAAAGGUGAAAGAAUGUAUUUGGCAGUUAGUUUUUAACCUCUCAUUGCUCCCAGAGCCUUGCUUGUGUGGUGGGCUUAUUCUGUUUAAUUGUUUUAAAAUUUAUAUCCAAACUUUCUGGCAUCCAUGGAGUUGUAUCGUGUUAAGUUCCACUCAGAAUAGUCCCAAUGAAAUCAACUGAGAUGGAACUACACUGAGUAGGAUUUGCAUUUAAUACAAACCAAAGUCUUCAAGGCAACUUACAAGCCAAUCAGUAGUGAAAUCCACAUAAGUUUAAAUUUAACAGUUUAAGAAAACAAACAGUCUGAAAGCAGACCACUUCAUUAGCAAGAGCAUUAAAUAGGAACAAAUACUGCAUUGUCAUUUGCCAAAAGUAUAAAAAGGAAUGAAGAAUCCUUUUCAGCCUGAAGACCAUAGUCUAUUCUAGGCAGCCUUCAGAGACCAUAUUCCAGUAGCUGGAACUUUUGCCUUUGUAGGGUAGGCUAGAUUCUACGCAAACUCACACACUCCAUCUAGGGAAGCAAGAGGCAUUAUCAGAGUUCAAGGACACAGUCUGGUCCACUCAAGCACAGCUGAGAAAAUGUGGUCUGAGAAGAAUAUGGAGGGUCACUUAAAGACACUUGAAGAUAGAGCCUGUAUGCAAGUAUUUAUAUGCUAAUGCAAGAAGCCUUUGAGCCAAGAUGGGUGAACAGGAGUGCUUGGUUUUUAGAAAAUAGCCUUUAUAUAGUGGGCAUAACAGAAACCUGGUGGAACAGAGAACCAAUAAAAGGUAAAAAGGUAAAGGACCCCUGGAUGGUUAAGUCCAGUCGAGUACAACUAUGGGGUGUGGUGCUCAUCACUGCUUUCAGGCCAAGAGAGCCAGCUUUCUGGGUCCUGUGGCCAGCAUGACUAAACCACUUCUGGUGCAGCCGAACACUGUGAUGGAAACCAGAGCGCAUAGAAAAGCCUCUUACCUUCCUGCCACAGCUGUACCUAUUUAUCUUCUUGUGCUGCUGUUCUCAUUGGGGGGCAGUAUUUCAAUUUGAGCAGGAAAAUGAGAGUACCCCUAAACAUUUUUUAAAGAAAAAAAGCACUGCCUGGUUGUAAUAACAGGUGACUUCAGCUACACUCAACAUAGUGUGCAUAAACACACUAGGGGAAAGUGUACAUAUACAUAUAAAUAGAUGCAUUAAUAAAAACAGCAUUCAAAAAUGCAUUAUAAAGGAAAUUUUUUUGCAAAAAUUGUGUAUGUAUGACAAAAAAUUGUACGUUAGGACAGUAAAAUGCUGAAGGAUUUUUUAAACAAAAAACAUAAAUUGCUACAAAAAUGUGGAGAAUUUAAGAUUUGGAAAAAAAUUAAAAACAGAGGAACUGAAAUUGAUAGAUAUCUACUCAGAAAUAAAUCUUAUGGGAUUCAAUAAGACUUACUCCCAGGCAAGUAGUGUUAAAACUGCAAUAUUCACCCAAGCCUUGGUAAUUGUUGUCAUUCAUGUAUAAAUCAUUCACCUGGAAUGGUCAGGUGAAUGACUACAUUUUCUUUGUGAGUAUAAGAAAUACUGUAUAUUCUACUAGCUAGAGAGCUAAAAAUGAAAAUGACAAUUUAAAUAACCCAAAUAUUUUCUGGAACAUAAAGAAACAUUUUCAAUAAGGCCAUACUUCCCUUUGUUACGCAAGUAUCCAUAUUUCAUUUCUUGUUUGUCCCCGCUAGAUGGCACUUACAUACCACAACAGCCCAAAUGGGUGAUGUGAGCGGUCAGCAGGGGACAGCAGCAGGACAUAAAUCUAAGUGAAAUGCUGGGAAAAUGUUCUGACUAACUUUAUGAAGGAAGGAGAAUGGAAGCUUGCCAUUAUUACAGUGCCUCUGGAACAGAAGAUGGUUUUAAGGCAAGGCGGGGGGACGGGACCCUGCUCUUAUAUAUGUCACAAAAUGAGCAUCUUUCUCUUCAGCUCAAAUAAUUGUUUCAUGAUGUCUCUCAGAACCUGCACUGGUAAAAUAGGGGACAAUUCAGGACAAAAUGCACCGAGGAAUAAGGGGCCCAAAAUGGGCCAUAAACUUAACUAUAAAAAAGUAAAUGAAGCUGUGCUUUAUGAGAGCAGUGAGUCAUAUGUGGACCUUGGGAAGGAUGGAGCUUUCGUCAGAGUUGUCUGUUCAGUACAGCUUGGUAGAGAUUGGGUUGGCUUUCUGAAGGAGCAGGCAUGAUCUGAAAGCAAAUCUGAAAUGGAAAUUCAAAUGAGCCUAAAACCUGGACAGCAUAGAAUGAGGGCUCCCUGUGGAUAUUCCUACAAUUUGUAUCUAAAUCUGAGUGCACCUAAAUCUGAGUUAUGGGGGACUACCACUGCUAACAUCUCAGCAAAGGAACAUUGAUAUAAGGAAUCAGGCAGUCUUUCAUUUCAUUGACGAGGAUGGAGGCUAGUGAGGGGGCUAGCUCCAACUGGAGCACAGGGGGACAGGAUCAGUCUAUUUCCAGUCUGUCUCACUUUCACAUGUGUUCAACCAUCAGUCCAUUCUGCCCCGUUUUUGUGUAUGAAUUUUUCAAAAUAGCUUCUGUUGUUUUUGUACUGUUUUAAAAACUGUUUUAUCUGUUUUAUCAUAUACAUUGAGAUACAUAAGAAUAAGAAUAUCAAAACAGAGAGAAGGUUGCAUUUCAGCUGCGUGCAUUUUCUACUAGUUGCUUUUAAGUACUGCUUUUAACUAUUUUGUAGCUGCUUUUAACAAUGAAAAUUCUGAGGUUUUCUGUCUCUGUCUCUCACACACAGCUGUUGCAGCCUUUAUCUUUCAAAGGCAGCACGAUCUAAAUUAAAUAACAUCUAAGGCAAUAGAAAACACUCAGGUGUAAUAGUCAAUUUUGAUUACUUUGGGCUCUGACUCAAAAGCAUAGCGCCUUUCAUACUUAUUUCCCCACACAUUCACUCUAUAUAUGGAGGAGGGAGUAGAGAUGAGUCCUUGGCCCCACCUACCAUCCUCUAGUGUGGAGAAAGAAGUCUGAAAAGAGGCACUCAUAUGCUUAUGCUGUCGGCAUGCGCGUGUCUGAUGUGACUGGGAAGCUCUGCUGGGCAGGGCUGUCAACUGGGCAGAGCAUGUCUAUGCUCACAUGACUCUAUGUGCAUGUGCCCUCAUGCAGACUUUCCUCUCUGCUUCAAAAGGCCUACUCAUUCCCACCACAUAUGAUAAAAAGUGCCUUCUUUUUCCUUGCAUUUUCAACAUAUAUUUGAACUGGUCUUAUACAUUCUUGCUAUGUGUACUGGUGUUAUGUACCAUCUAUACGUCAUUUUCAUAUAGUUCUCUUUCAGUAAAGAACAAUCUGUAAAUUUUAAAUUAGUUUUCCACAAUCUUUCCCAAACUUCAAACAUUACAUUGUGACCUGUGUCUUGUGCCCAUUUAAUCAUGACUGAUUUCACCUCUUCAACUUUUGUUUCCCAUUCUAGCAGAAUACUAUAUGCACCCUUCAGCAACUUUACCUUCCCUUCCACUUUCUUUUGAAACCUAGAUGUUGUGUAACUGAACCCUUUCUUAUUGUCUUCUUUGUAUAUCUCAUGUAAUUGCCAAUAGUGUAACCAACUCUGAAAGUGAUCUUUUAUUUCCUCAUAAUCUCUUAAUUUCCAUUUUCCUUCAUAGUCUUUUAACAAAUCCGCAUAUGUAAGCCAUUUUACUUUUUUACCAAGUGGGAGAAAAUACAAUUGUUGAAAUAAUUUGUUAUGUUAAAAUUGUUAAUAAAAAUUAUUAUAUAUAAAAAAGGCCUACUCAUUAAGCAUCCAUUUCAUUGCUAUCAUACCGUCUCAGGAAGGAGAUGCUGUGGGGCAGAUAGUUAUGGGUAGCUGGAUGUGUAUGAAGCAUGCCUUGUCCUGCACCUGCUAAGGUAGCUGUAAAGAGUAUGGGUUGCUCGUGCGUAAGUUGCCGCCUCUCCUGGCUUUGUUGCCUUGUUAAACCUUUCAGUCUGGACAGCCCUUCACUUCGUGGCUGCCUCAGUCGCUAGUAGAAUCCGUCAGUGGGCGUUUCUUAAACCUUUUCCAACAUAAAAGUUGUUUGACACCCAGUCUCCUCCUACUCUCUCUGCGCGGAAGUCUUCUGCGCAAGGAGGGCGUGGGUAGCGGAGGACCCGUGCUCUCUCCGCUGGUGUCCGGUGAAGAGUCUGGGAGCCCUCUCACCGAUUCCCCCAUCUGCCCCUCUUUAUUCCUGGUGUUGCGCUGAAUUGCUUCCCCAUCUGCUGAGCUGCCUCUCUCCCUGCUGGGCCCUUCUCCAGCAUCAUUUGAGAGCCUUCCCUCCGCCUCUAGCUCCGAUGUCAGUUCCCUGACAGUAGCCUUCUGGUUUCAUAUGUUUUAGAGGAGGAUGCUCAGACGCCAGUGCUGAAGCAAGAUUCAGCUGCCAGCAUGUCUGGUUCCCGUGUUCAGAACUUGGUUGGGAUUCCCAUCUUGUCCUUUGCCACAGGCAGCAAAAUGGCUUGGGCCCACCCUGAAUGUCAGGUGCUGCAGCCAAUGGUGUGUUUGGAGUGUGGCUGGGCACAACCCUCCUCCAUGGUUCGAGUGAAUCCAUGGAUGAGGGAUAUUUGAAAGGGGUUUAUGAUAAAUCCUAAGGCUCAGCAGGGAGGUGGAACCAAUCUGUUUGUUUGUUUAUUUAUCCUAUUUAUGUACCAAAUAAAUAUAAGUUCUCUGGGGGGCUUCCAAUAAAAACUUAAGCAACUAAAUACAAUACAAAACCAUUGAAACUGAUACAGCACAAAGUCUAAUCCAGCAGAAAGCAGGCAUCAGAAAAUGAAGACAGGACAGCAGAAUUAAAUGCAGCACCAAACAGUAAGAAUAUAAGUGAAAUCAAGGAAAGGCUUGAAGACUGAAAAUAAAAUUCUGCCGUUCGCAGCAGUGGGGUAUGGAAGGAGCAGGCCCCCAAAAAAGUGCCCCCCCCCAGGUAGUAAAACAUUUGGGACAUAGUGCUGUCAAGACCUGGUGCCGAAAGGGCUAAGGAGGUCGGAGAUGACUGCGCCUUGCAAUUUCCCCCCUCCUUAUCUUGCAUAAAGUUUUUCCUAGUUCCUGCCCACUUUUUUUUUAAGCGUGUAACUAGACCCAUGAUCACCAGGGAUGCACUGGCGGAGGAGGGCGGGUGCAGGGGGUGCGGUGCACACCGGGUGUCAGCUGUGAGGCCAGGUGACAUCGCUGCGCCGCCACCACCAUCACCCUGCUUGCUGAGUGGGCAGUGGGCCGCUAGGGAUGAUGCUGCUGCGGGCAGCUAGCAGUGCCCCCCCCCCAUGCUCGCCACACAGGCGGCAGGAAGCUAAGGACACUCACUGCACGGGCAGCUAGCCCUGCUCCUGCGGGAUGGCUAGCCCUGCCCCCACACCACUCUGGGUGCCGGGGCAGGUAUCUCUACCCCUGCAGGGAUGUAGCAGCAGUGAUUUAUUAUAAAAACUUCACCUCUGCCCUCAACACCUCUUUUCCUACUUUCUCUUUGAGACUGUGUAAAAUGCCAGUUGGGGUGAGCACUUGUGGGGGGGGGGGCAGGCAGGUGUCAGUUGAUUUAUGACUGUUUAGUUACUUAAUAGGUUUUUUUUAAAGAAGUCUGUGGGGGUUCUGACUUGCUCCAAUAACCCUUAUCCUAGUAGUUCUUUGAUUUUGUUUCAUGUUUGUCUGGGGACUCAGCUGUACAGCUGCAAAUAAAACGUUUUGAGUGUGUUGUAAGGUGCAAUAUACAAAUGUGACACUAGAUGGCUAUGGCAAUUUCAAGGUGUUUUUUUGGGGGGUUUUUUUUUAAAAAAAGCAUUUUCACAGCGUUUAUUAUGUGUGUGUAGAUUCCACCUGAGUAAUGGGACCCUUUAUAGUAAAUGCGACUUUGUUGUUGUUUAGUCGUUUAGUCACGUCUGACUCUUCGUGACCCCAUGGACCAGAGCACGCCAGGCACUCCUGUCUUCCACUGCCUCCCACAGUUUGGUCAGACUCAUGUUUGUAGCUUCGAAAACACUGUCCAACCACCUCAUCCUCUGUCGUCCCCUUCUUCUUGUGCCCUCCACUUUCCCCAGCAUCAGGGUCUUUUCCAGGGAGUCUUCUCUUCUCAUGAGGUGGCCAAAGUCUUGGAGCCUCAGCUUCACGAUCUGUCCUUCCAGUGAGCACUCAGGGCUGAUUUCCUUAAGAAUGGAUAGGUUUGAUCUUCUUGUAGUCCAUGGGACUCUCAAGAGUCUCCUCCAGCACCAGAAUUCAAAAGCAUCAAUUCUUUGGCGAUCAGCCUUCUUUAUGGUCCAGCUCUCACUUCCAUACAUCACUACUGGGAAAACCAUGGCUUUAACUAUACGGACCUUUGCUGGCAAGGUGAUGUCUCUGCUUGUGACUAGUCCAAAUAAAGUUCUAUGUGUUUUUUAGUUUCUUGUAUGGUUUCUUGAGUGCAAGUCCAGCUUCUAAAUCCUUGUGCCCAGACCAGUGGCCAGUUGGUAGAUCUGUUUGGACUGGGCUAGUCAAUAAGGAAGCUUGUUUAAUUGACUUACCUUUUAUACCCUUAUCUUGACAAGUUCUACUUGAGAAAUUGACACAUAACUUUAAGGUGAAAGGGGGCCAGAGUAGAAUGAUUUGUGUUUUGCAGUAUAGAAUGGCUUUACUGUUUUUACAAACCUGAUAUUUCUUCACCUGUGUGUUUUAUAGACAGGGAAAGAAAAAUAUUAAAGUUGAAGAUGAUGCUCUUAGUAUGGAUAGUCCACAGCAGUUCACCUGUAACAUCUUCUUUAAUUUUGUAAUCAUUUAUGUUCUUUAUAAUUUAUAUUUUCCUGUAUGCUUGUCUUAUUUCUAGUGUUUCUGCAAGUAGAUUUUUGUUAUAUGUGUGAAAAUCAAAUGUAUUUUAAAAAUGAGGGGCCUGCUGGGAAGGGUAGAACCUCUGUGUUAGCAGGUAGGUCAUAGUUUCUUACUGAGAGGUAGUGUGGGAGAAGCAAGCAGGGAGAGACAGCAGGGGGAAGGCACAGUGCAAAUAUACCAACAGGAGGACCGGAAUGGUUCUGCCAAUGUGUUUGCACUGCACCAACCUCCUCUCCCUUUAUCCUCUCCCUCCCUGCAAGCAGCAGUGGCCCACUUACCAGAAAGAUAACAUAGCAGUCAGAGGCAGUAAUGCUUCUGAAUACCAGUUGCUAGAAACCACAGGAUGGGAGAGUGUUUUUGAGCUUGGUUCAUGUUUGAGGGUUUCCACAAGCAUCUGGUUGUCCAAUGUGAGAACAGGAUGCUGGACCAGGUAGGACACUGGCGUGAUCCUGAAGACUCUUCUGAUAUUUUGGUUCUGCCUUCAACAAUUUUAAAAUAAUGUUAAAGAAUAUUAAAUCUGGAUCCACAGUUGCACCCAAAAUUCUCCUUCAUAUCUGCAAGUGAAAUUGGGAAAGGGGGAAAUUCCAUUUGAUAUUCUCCAGGUGGAUUGCUGAAAUUCUCCCAUAGUUGAGUAGGAACUCAAAAAUGAAAAAUUGGCAUUCCUAUGUAAGGGGGAGUGGCUGCAUCCAUUCUGGUCUCUUUGCCUAUGGAUAUACACACUGGGUUUAAAAAAUCCCAUGGAAAUAAGCCCCUGCCAGGCAGCUUUGAAAUAGUGAUCAAAUAGAUGAUCAAAGGUUGGAAUGGUCUCUUCUUAAAAGCAGUCAAGCAGCCCUUUGAAAUUUAUGUAAAAUGUUGUACUACAGUAGGGGUUCCACCACCCUUAUUCCUAGGAAGAGGCCUCUAAAAGUUCAUUUGAAGUAGCUAAUUCAAACAGUCCAUAGAAUAAUUUAUUAAAGAAUACCUGAAUAUCAUAAAAAUAAGAAAUCAUUUCACUGUCAGUUUUAAGAAGGCAGUAGAAACAUAGGAAUCUGCACUAAACUAGAACCCUAUUGUUCAAACUCUGCAGCAGCACUUUCAAGGGCUUCAGACAGGAUAUUCCAGCCCUGACUGGACAUGUUGAGGAUUGAACCUUGGGCAUUCCGCUUGCAAAUCAGAAGCUCUGCAAUCAAACAA